rnacentral:misc_RNA from 1 species
UGGGUUUGACAUAUACCGGAAAGCCGUAGAGAUACGGCCCCCCUUGUGGUCGGUAUACAGGUGGUGCAUGGCUGUCGUCAGCUCGUGUCGUGAGAUGUUGGGUUAAGUCCCGCAACGAGCGCAACCCUUGUCCUGUGUUGCCAGCGCGUAAUGGCGGGGACUCGCAGGAGACUGCCGGGGUCAACUCGGAGGAAGGUGGGGAUGACGUUCGUCUGAC